rnacentral:lncRNA from 1 species
UUCAUCAUUUCAUGAUUUUGUUCUGUCUUGACUAUGAACUUAUAUUAAGUUCAUAUUACAUAGUAUAAAAAUAACUUCAGGAGUGAUAGGAGGUCAAAUCCAUGCAGCAAAACACUUGUAACAUUAUCUGCUACGUUUCAAUGUGAGGUGAGUUUUUUUCCCCUUCUGCCCUUUAAUAUCACCUCAUAAUGACACCAAUUGAUGUGUUCUUACAGAAUUCAUUAGACCUAAUUUUGUUUUGGCUUAUGAUCUUUAUGUGGAUCUAAACCUUCCUGUACCUUCAUAAAAUAU